rnacentral:lncRNA from 1 species
AUGCCCGGGGCCCGGGGCCCGCCGCCGCCCCCCCGGCCCGCGGCCCCGCGGCGGAGGGCAGCGGCCGCUCUCCUUACCUGCUUCCCCUCUAUAUUGCCAGAGGCCGGGAGCGGCGUCGCUCGGGGUCACCGCGGAGGCUGCCGCCGUGCGAGGGAACCGGCGCCGCGCUCGCUCGCCCGCGCUGCGGCUCUGCUCCGGAGGGAGCCCCCAGCCCGGGGAGCGGCAGCCCGGGCUGGACGAGCAGCGCUGCCGCUACGAGGGGCGGCUGCCGCUGCCGCAAUCGCCGGAGCAGAUGCUUGGGCUUCACUGAAAGAAUGGAGGAGCAUUUACUUGAACCAUUUUCUCCAAGCAGUUAGGCAUAUCUCACAGAGGAGGAGGAAAACGAGACCCUGCAGCGCCUGUUGCCCUGGUCUACCAAGAAGCUCCUCUGUCCUCUGCGCCACAGGCUGGGCAGGAUCUCAAGUUAAGAAAAAUAUGCCCUCUUCCUUUUCCACGACUCUUAAAACUGCUCACCCCUGCACACUCCAACGGAGAACUGUGAAAAGCAAAGCUUGUAAAGCGUCCUAG